UAUGAACAAUAUGUUAUUUCUAACAUUUAAACUAUUGCUUAUAAUAUAAAUAUAUAUUUCUUCCAUUUAUUUAUGCUGAUUCCGACCACUUCACGUUUGUGAUUUUAAUAUUUGAAGCAUUUAUUUAUAUAUUUGACAUUCAUUAUUUAUUAUUUUAAUUUAUUGCCUUUUCCGCUGCACAAUUGAACAUUUGAUUCAUGUUUCUAUGCAUAAAUAUAAAGGCUAUGUUGUUUAAAUCUAAAAUAUGAGACCAAAAAAAUAUAGCAAAGUCCUUAACAAAACCACUUUUGUAAUCAAUUUGACCAGAAGCGAUGUUUCCAUAUUUAUUGCUUGUUCCUUGUUUUGGAAUGUUUUUUAGUGUUCGUGUUGGGGAUUUUAUGUCUGCACUCAAUACAGUUAUUUCUGUGUGUUACAAAUGCAGUGUGGCAAUUUUAUUUUUAAUGGAGCUGUCACAAUAUUUAUCCAUCUGUGAUUUAUACUCUUUCCAUACCAUAUUGACUUCCUUCAUUCUACUCUUAUAUUCUUUUCUUUUUAUUCACUUAACACCUACCAACCACUAAAUUACUAAAAAAAAACUCAUUACAGUAAUUUCAGAUACAACUUUGAGACUAUUUCCAGAAAAAAACAAAAACAAAAACAUCAUGUGUAUUUUUUUUCUUCUGGAGAAAACCUCACUGUAUCGAUCUUCAUUACAGCAGAUCCUCUUGACGUCAAGCUUUUGUGCAGGUUAAUAUGGAGAGCAUUUCCAUGAUAGGACAAGGUACAAACAAGCGAUGUUUCUCGCAGGGGGUUGUUAUUGAAUCCUGAGUCCUGUUGUUAAAGAAGGACAUAAAUAGAGGAGUAGACAACCGGACUCUUCACAUUUGUUUAGUUCUUCCCAUCAAAAACGAUUCUUGAUUCAACAAAAAUGAUAUCAAGAGUGUGGAUUUUAUGGACACUUGUGUUAUUUUUAUUGGUGACAGAGUCUCAUUGCAUUCAAAAGAGCUCGUUAUCUAAAAACUGGGGACCACAAUCCAUGCUUUACUUAAAAGGAAAACAUGGAAGACGGUUUGUUCCUGACAUUGAUGAUCAUUUCAUUUCCAAUUCAGGGUUGAAAAGCUGGUACGCAGUUUUCAAAGGAUUGCAAAAGCUGAAGUCGCCGAAUGCAAGACAACUGACAGUAUUUUUCACACCCCGUAAUUUUGUUAUCCGUUAGUUCGAAGGUUUAUGUACAGUGUGACAUAUUUUGUACCGUUCAAGACUUCAAAAUAAAUCUAUUUAUGUCAAA